rnacentral:rRNA from 1 species
AUUGAACGCUGGCGGCAGGCCUAACACAUGCAAGUCGAACGAGUGGCGGACGGGUGAGUAAUGUCUGGGAAACUGCCUGAUGGAGGGGGAUAACUCCUGGAAACGGUAGCUCUAACCGCAUACCAUCAGAUGUGUCCAGAUGGGAUUAGCUAGUAGGUGGGGUAACGGCGCCCAGAGGCGACGAUCCCUAGCUGGUCUGAGAGGAUUACCAGCCACACUGGAACUGAGACACGGUCCAGACUCCUACGGUAGGCAGCAGUGGGGAAUAUUGCACAAUGGGCGCAAGCCUGAUGCAGCCAUGCCGCGUGUAUGAAGAAGGCCUUCGGGUUGUAAAGUACUUUCAGCGGUGAGGCGUUACCCGCAGAAGAAGCACCGGCUAACUCCGUGCCAGCAGCCGCGGUAAUAC